UACAGAGGGUGCAAGCGUUAAUCGGAAUUACUGGGCGUAAAGGGCGCGUAGGCGGUGUAUUAAGUUAGAUGUGAAAUCCCUGGGCUCAACCUAGGAACUGCAUCUGAUACUGGUACGCUAGAGUGCAGUAGAGGGUAGUGGAAUUUCCGGUGUAGCGGUGAAAUGCGUAGAUAUCGGAAGGAACACCAGUGGCGAAGGCGGCUACCUGGACUGACACUGACGCUGAGGCGCGAAAGCGUGGGGAGCAAACAGG
rnacentral:rRNA from 1 species